rnacentral:rRNA from 1 species
UUCGGUGAUCACAGCGAAAUGGGAAACACCCGGUUCCAUUCCGAACCCGGAAGUUAAGCCUUUCAGCGCCGAUGGUACUGCACGGGGGACCGUGUGGGAGACUAGGACGUCGCCGGAC